rnacentral:lncRNA from 1 species
AUUGAAAAAGUUUUAAAUACAAUUCCUUUUACUUAUAGAAUAAUUGAUUUAAAAGGCGAAGAAAUAACAGGUUCUUUCUAUGAACAAGAAUUUGGAAACUUACCAAAACAAUAAUCAGUUUUCAAAAUUUUCAAUUUGAAAACAAAAGUGCAAUAAAUACAUACAAGUCAAACACUAUAAACAUAAUAUAACUGUUCAAAGUUCUUUUGUCCAAACCGCUCAUGAUAAGAACUGUCACAUCCACUGAAAGUUACCCGGUUAUGCAUCACCGUUUCUAAAUAUAGCAUUGAGAAAUAGUCAUUCCUUAUACGGAAUAUAUACAAAGUUGUCCCAGCC